GAGAGACAGAGAGUUAGAGAGACAGAGAGUUAGAGAGACAGCGAUAAAGAAAGAGAGAGUGAGAGAGAGAGAGCAUAGAGAGACAGAGAGAGCAUAGAGAGACAGAGAGUUAGAGAGACAGCGAUAAAGAAAGAGAGAGUGAGAGAGAGAGAGCAUAGAGAGACAGAGAGUUAGAGAGACAGCGAUAAAGAAAGAGAGAGUGAGAGAGAGAGAGCAUAGAGAGACAGAGACAUUGAGAGACAGAGAGUUAGAGAGACAGCGAUAAAGAAAGAGAGAGAGAGAGAGAGAGAGCAUAGAGAGACAGAGAGUUAGAGAGACAGCGAUAAAGAAAGAGUGAGAGAGAGAGAAGCAUAGAGAGACAGAGAGUUAGAGAGACAGCGAUAAAGAAAGAGAGAGUGAGAGAGAGAGAGCAUAGAGAGACAGACAGAGAGUUAGAGAGACAGAGAGUUAGAGAGACAGCGAUAAAGAAAGAGAGAGUGAGAGAGAGAGAGAGAGUUAGAGAGACAGCGAUAAAGAAAGAGAGAGUGAGAGAGAGAGAGCAUAGAGAGACAGAGAGUUAGAGAGACAGCGAUAAAGAAAGAGAGAGUGAGAGAGAGAGGCAUAGAGAGACA
ensembl:lncRNA